GCCUGGUUGGCUCGGUUGGUAGAGCUUGCGACUCUUGAUCUCAGGUUCGUGAGUUCGAGCCCCACGUCAGGUG
rnacentral:tRNA from 1 species